rnacentral:rRNA from 1 species
UACGUAGGUGGCGAGCGUUGUCCGGAUUUACUGGGCGUAAAGGGAGCGUAGGCGGACUUUUAAGUGAGAUGUGAAAUACCCGGGCUCAACUUGGGUGCUGCAUUUCAAACUGGAAGUCUAGAGUGCAGGAGAGGAGAAUGGAAUUCCUAGUGUAGCAGUGAAAUGCGUAGAGAUUAGGAAGAACACCAGUGGCGAAGGCGAUUCUCUGGACUGUAACUGACGCUGAGGCUCGAAAGCGUGGGGAGCAAACAGGAUUAGAUA